rnacentral:rRNA from 1 species
CAGUAGCCGCGGGAAUACGAAGGGGGCUAGCGUUGUUCGGAAUUACUGGGCGUAAAGCGCACGUAGGCGGAUAUUUAAGUCAGGGGUGAAAUCCCAGAGCUCAACUCUGGAACUGCCUUUGAUACUGGGUAUCUUGAGUAUGGAAGAGGUUAGUGGAAUUGCGAGCGUAGAGGUGAAAUUCGUAGAUAUUCGCAGGAGCACCAGUGGCGAAGGCGGCUAACUGGUCCAUAACUGACGCUGAGGUGCGAAAGCGUGGGGAGCAAACAGGAUUAGAGACCCGCGUAGUCCCUGUCUCUUAUAC